CCGGCAACCGGCGCACGGGUGAGUAACACGUAUGCAACCUGCCCGUCUCAGGGGGAUAAUCGUCGGAAACGGCGUCUAAUACCCCGUAUGAAGCUGGACGGCAUCGUCUGGUUUUGAAAGAAUAUCGGAGACGGAUGGGCAUGCGGCGCAUUAGCUAGUUGGCGGGGUAACGCCCACCAAGGCGACGAUGCGUAGGGGUUCUGAGAGGAAGGUCCCCCACACUGGUACUGAGACACGGACCAGACUCCUACGGAAGGCAGCAG
rnacentral:rRNA from 1 species